AUUGAACGCUGGCGGCAUGCCUUACACAUGCAAGUCGAACGGUAACAGGUUAAGCUGACGAGUGGCGAACGGGUGAGUAAUGUAUCGGAACGUGCCCAGUCGUGGGGGAUAACUGCUCGAAAGAGCAGCUAAUACCGCAUACGACCUGAGGGUGAAAGCGGGGGAUCGCAAGACCUCGCGCGAUUGGAGCGGCCGAUAUCAGAUUAGGUAGUUGGUGGGGUAAAGGCCCACCAAGCCGACGAUCUGUAGCUGGUCUGAGAGGACGACCAGCCACACUGGGACUGAGACACGGCCCAGACUCCUACGGGAGGCAGCAGUGGGGAAUUUUGGACAAUGGGCGCAAGCCUGAUCCAGCCAUGCCGCGUGCGGGAAGAAGGCCUUCGGGUUGUAAACCGCUUUUGUCAGGGAAGAAAAGGUUCUGGUUAAUACCUGGGACUCAUGACGGUACCUGAAGAAUAAGCACCGGCUAACUACGUGCCAGCAGCCGCGGUAAUAC
rnacentral:rRNA from 1 species